GCCGGGCAUGGUGGCGCAUGCCUGUGAUCCCAGCUACUCGGGAGGCUGAGGCAAGAGAAUUGCUUGAACUCAGGAGGCACAGGUUGCAAUGAGCCGAGAUCAUGCCACUGCACUCCAGCCUGGGUAACAGAGCAAGACUCUGUCUCAA
rnacentral:SRP_RNA from 2 species